UAGCGGGCGAGAGCGGAGAGCAGAGGAAACUCGAGCCACGUCCGUGCGCACCGGGACAGCGGCCAGAACUGCUGGGCGGGGGAUCGAUCUGGGAGCCGGGUGGACCAGGAGAUUCUGAAAUUAUAGGCAAAAUCUUGUAUUUGCCUUUACCUAGAUUUUGAGCACAAAAGGACCCUUGCCCUUUACAAUAUUUUCUAAGAGGCCUCUCGGAUUUCCUCAUCACCAACCCCAACCAGGUUACUAACUCAGGGAGGCAGCUGACACCAAUCUCAGUGAGCAGGAUCUAGGAGUCCAUUUCUCUUUCAAGAUUCCAGGGACUAACAGUAAGCCAUCGGAGAGACCAUCAAAUCCCACCCCCUCAUUUGACAGACAGGAAAAGGAAAGCCUGCAGAAGACAGGUGGCUUGCCAGAGAUCACUCGCAGAACUGGUGUUCAAAGAGACUGUUUCUGUUAAACCCAUUUUGUUGCACAAGAGAAGAGCCCCUUCCUUUCAACUUUCCAGCUGGAACCAAGACCAGACCUUUCAAACAAGCCACUUUCAGUAAACGCAAAACAGGAACUAUGUGUCCCAGGCUGGUCUCAAAAUCUU
rnacentral:lncRNA from 1 species